UAACAGAGGUCCCAAGCGUUGUUCGGAUUCAUUGGGCGUAAAGGGUGCGUAGGCUGCUUCGCAAGUCGGAUGUGAAAGCCCUGGGCUCAACCCAGGAAGUGCAUUCGAAACUGCAGAGCUGGAGUCCUGGAGAGGAAGGCGGAAUUCUCGGUGUAGAGGUGAAAUUGUAGAUAUCGAGAGGAACACCGGUGGCGAAGGCGGCCUUCU
rnacentral:rRNA from 1 species